GUGCCAGCCGCCGCGGUAAUACGUAGGGGGCUAGCGUUAUCCGGAUUUACUGGGCGUAAAGGGUGCGUAGGUGGUCCUUCAAGUCGGUGGUUAAAGGCUACGGCUCAACCGUAGUAAGCCGCCGAAACUGGAGGACUUGAGUGCAGGAGAGGAAAGUGGAAUUCCCAGUGUAGCGGUGAAAUGCGUAGAUAUUGGGAGGAACACCAGUAGCGAAGGCGGCUUUCUGGACUGCAACUGACACUGAGGCACGAAAGCGUGGGUAGCAAACAGGAUUAGAUACCCUGGUAGUCCACGCUGUAAACGAUGAGUACUAGGUGUCGGGGGUUACCCCCCUCGGUGCCGCAGCUAACGCAUUAAGUACUCCGCCUGGGGAGUACGCACGCAAGUGUGAAACUUAAAGGAAUUGACGG
rnacentral:rRNA from 1 species